rnacentral:rRNA from 1 species
CGUGAGUAACCUGCCUUGGAGUGGGGAAUAACACAUCGAAAGAUGUGCUAAUACCGCAUAAUGCAGUUGGGCCGCAUGGCUCUGGCUGCCAAAGAUUUAUCGCUCUGAGAUGGACUCGCGUCUGAUUAGCUGGUUGGCGGGGUAACGGCCCACCAAGGCGACGAUCAGUAGCCGGACUGAGAGGUUGACCGGCCACAUUGGGACUGAGACACGGCCCAGACUCCUACGGAAGGCAGCAG